UACAGAGACUGCAAGCGUUAUUCGGAUUCACUGGGCGUAAAGGGUGCGCAGGCGGCCAAGUGUGUGAGGCGUGAAAGCCUGGGGCUUAACCCCAGAAUUGCACCUCAAACUACUUGGCUAGAGCAUUGGAGAGGGUAGCAGAAUUCAUGGUGUAGCAGUGAAAUGCGUAGAUAUCAUGAGGAAUACCAGAGGCGAAGGCGGCUACCUGGACAAUUGCUGACGCUCAGGCACGAAAGCGUGGGGAGCAAACAGG
rnacentral:rRNA from 1 species